rnacentral:rRNA from 1 species
UCGGGACGGGUACAGAGAUGACAAGGUGCCUUCGGGACCUUUGAGACAGGUGCGUGCAUGGCUGUCGUCAGCUCGUGUUGUGAAAUGUUGGGUUAAGUCCCGCAACGAGCGCAACCCUUAUCCUUUGUUGCCAGCGGUCCGGCCGGGAACUCAAAGGAAACUGCCAGUGAUAAACUGGAGGAAGGGGGGGAUGACGUCCAGUCAUCAUGGCCCUUACGACCAGGGCUACCCACGUGCUACAAUGGCGCAUACAAAGAGAAGCGACCUCGCGAGAGCAAGCGGACCUCAUAAAGUGCGUCCUAAUCCGGAUUGGAGUCUGCAACUCCACUCCAUGAAAUCGGAAUCGCUAGUAAUCGUGGAUCAAAAUGCCACGGUGAAUACGUUCCCGGGUCUGUACACACCCGAA